GACGUAGGGCGCAAGCGUUGUCCGGAAUUAUUGGGCGUAAAGAGCUUGUAGGCGGUUUGUCGCGUCUGCCGUGAAAGCCCAGGGCUUAACCCUGGGUCUGCGGUGGGUACGGGCAGACUAGAGUGUGGUAGGGGGAGACUGGAAUUCCUGGUGUAGCGGUGGAAUGCGCAGAUAUCAGGAGGAACACCGGUGGCGAAGGCGGCAUCCUGGACCGGCAUGACGCUGAGGCGCGAAAGCCAGGGGGAGCAAACGGG
rnacentral:rRNA from 1 species